UACGAAGGGGGCUAGCGUUGUUCGGAAUUACUGGGCGUAAGCGUCGCGCAGGCGGCUUCUCAAGUCAGGGGUGAAAGCCCAGAGCUCAACUCUGGAAUUGCCUUUGAGACUGAGUGGCUUGAGUACGAGAGAGGUGAGUGGAAUUCCCAGUGUAGAGGUGAAAUUCGUAGGAUAUUGGGAAGAACACCGGUGGCGAAGGCGGCUCACUGGCUCGUAACUGACGCUCAUGCACGACAGCGUGGGG
rnacentral:rRNA from 1 species